UACGUAGGGUGCAAGCGUUGUCCGGAAUUAUUGGGCGUAAAGAGCUCGUAGGCGGUCUGUCGCGUCUGCUGUGAAAACUCGGGGCUUAACCCCGGGCCUGCAGUGGGUACGGGCAGACUAGAGUGCGGUAGGGGAGACUGGAAUUCCUGGUGUAGCGGUGAAAUGCGCAGAUAUCAGGAGGAACACCGGUGGCGAAGGCGCACAUCUGGCCCGAUACUGACGCUGAAGCGCGAAAGCUAGGGGAGCAAACGGG
rnacentral:rRNA from 1 species